rnacentral:rRNA from 1 species
UACGGGGGGGGCAAGCGUUGUUCGGAUUUACUGGGCGUAAAGGGCUCGUAGGCGGCCAAUUAAGGCAGACUGGAAAUCCCCAGGCUCAACCUGGGAACUGCGUCUGAUACUGGUUGGCUUGAAUUCGGGAGAGGGAUGCAGAAUUCCAGGUGUAGCGGUGAAAUGCGUAGAUAUCUGGAGGAAUACCGGUGGCGAAGGCGGCAUCCUGGACCGAGAUUGACACUGAGGAGCGAAAGCCAGGGGAGCAAACGGG